rnacentral:rRNA from 1 species
UCACACACACACCUGUGCACCUAUGGCGAGCGCCUCCCAUUUGGAGCCGUCUGGGGCCCCCCUUAACCUUUCUCCUCUGAAAGAAGGGGGGGCCGGACCGGACCGGGGUGCUCCCCUCUCUUCUUACAUCUCAGCCUGUUCAAAUGCAUGUCUUUUGAGCCCCACGGGGUGGAAAAUUGUAAUACAACUUUCAACAACGGAUCUCUUGGCUUUCGCAUCGAUGAAGAACGCCGCGAAAGUGCGAAACGUAAUGUGAAUUGCAGAAUUCAGUGAAUCAUCGAAUCUUUGAACGCAUCUUGCGCUCCUUGGUAUUCCGAGGAGCAUGCCUGUUUGAGUGUCGUGAAACACCCUCGAACCCUCCCUUUGCCUUUCCCUUGUUGGAGAGCGGGAGGGUCGGAUUUGGACGCUUGCGGCGGUUAACCCCCCGCCGCUCGUCUCUAAAUGCAUCAGCUGGUCCCUAGAGUCGGUUUGACGACGGUGUGAUAAUAUAACGCUUCGUUGACUGUGGCGCCGUCCCUGGGCCGACUCUGAACCGGGGUCGCUUACAGCCGUCUUCGGACAAUGAUUUCAUGUCAUCUGACCUCAAAUCAGGUAGGACUACCCGCCGAACUUAA